rnacentral:rRNA from 1 species
UACGUAGGGUGCAAGCGUUGUCCGGAAUUAUUGGGCGUAAAGAGCUCGUAGGUGGUUUGUCGCGUUGUUCGUGAAAACUCACAACUCAAUUGUGGGCGUGCGGGCGAUACGGGCAGACUUGAGUACUGCAGGGGAGACUGGAAUUCCUGGUGUAGCGGUGGAAUGCGCAGAUAUCAGGAGGAACACCGGUGGCGAAGGCGGGUCUCUGGGCAGUAACUGACGCUGAGGAGCGAAAGCGUGGGGAGCGAACAGG